rnacentral:SRP_RNA from 1 species
UUUAACAGGUGAUUUACCGACUUGACGGUGAAUAUAAUUGAUACUAUAAUAAUCAGGCACGAUUAAUUGCCCUUUGAUGGCUUCGUAAGCAUGGUUUGGGUCCUGCGCAAUAGGACGCCGUGAACCUUGUCAGGUCCGGAAGGAAGCAGCAAUAAGCGGAAGCUCUUAUGUGCCGCAGAUAAGCCUUCUCCAACGCCUGCGGAGUCAUCAGAGGGCAAUUGUUCAU